GAUGAACGCUGGCGGCGUGCCUAAUACAUGCAAGUCGAGCGAACAGACGAGGAGCUUGCUCCUCUGACGUUAACGGCGGACGGGUGAGUAACACGUGGAUAACCUACCUAUAAGACUGGGAUAACUUCGGGAAACCGGAGCUAAUACCGGAUAAUAUAUUGAACCGCAUUGUUCAAUAGUGAAAGACGGUUUUGCUGUCACUUAUAGAUGGAUCCGCGCCGCAUUAGCUAGUUGGUAAGGUAACGGCUUACCAAGGCAACGAUGGGUAGCCGACCUGAAAGGGGGUUCGCCCACCCGGGAACUGGGACACGGUCAAGACUCCUACGGAGGGCAGCGGUAGGAAAUCUUCCGCAAUGGGCGAAAGCUUGACGGAGCAACGCCGCGUGAGUGAUGAAGGUCUUCGGAUCGUAAAACUCUGUGAUUAGGAAAGAACAAAUGUGUAAGUAACUAUUCACGUCUUGACGGUACCUAAUCAGAAAGCCACGGCUAACUACGUG
rnacentral:rRNA from 1 species